rnacentral:misc_RNA from 1 species
CCGGACCGGUGCGCGGCG